GAUGAACGCUGGCGGCGUGCCUAAUACAUGCAAGUCGAGCGAAUGGAUUAAGAGCUUGCUCUUAUGAAGUUAGCGGCGGACGGGUGAGUAACACGUGGGUAACCUGCCCAUAAGACUGGGAUAACUCCGGGAAACCGGGGCUAAUACCGGAUAACAUUUUGAACCGCAUGGUUCGAAAUUGAAAGGCGGCUUCGGCUGUCACUUAUGGAUGGACCCGCGUCGCAUUAGCUAGUUGGUGAGGUAACGGCUCACCAAGGCAACGAUGCGUAGCCGACCUGAGAGGGUGAUCGGCCACACUGGGACUGAGACACGGCCCAGACUCCUACGGGAGGCAGCAGUAGGGAAUCUUCCGCAGUGGACGAAAGUCUGACGGAGCAACGCCGCGUGAGUGAUCAAGGCUUUCGGGUCGUAAAACUCUGUUGUUAGGGAAGAACAAGUGCUAGUUGAAUAAGCUGGCACCUUGACGGUACCCAACCAGAAAGCCACGGCUAACUACGUGCCAGCAGCCGCGGUAA
rnacentral:rRNA from 1 species